CUUCGCCAAGCCCGGGACGAAGCCGCCCAAGCCGGUGCCCAUCCGGGGCCGCGGCGCCGCCCGGCGAAAGCCCAGCAAGGAGGACG
rnacentral:SRP_RNA from 13 species